rnacentral:rRNA from 1 species
CUUCGGGUGGGUGACGGAGCGGCGAACGGGUGAGUAACACGUGGGCAACCUGCCCCUAGCUUCGGGAUAAGCCCGGGAAACCGGGUCUAAUACCGGAUAUGAGAUCGGAUCGCAUGGUCUGGUUUGGAAAGUUUUUCGGCUAGGGAUGGGCCCGCGGCCUAUCAGCUUGUUGGUGGGGUAAUGGCCCACCAAGGCGACGACGGGUAGCCGGCCUGAAAGGGCGACCGGCCACACUGGGACUGAGACACGGCCCAG